rnacentral:piRNA from 1 species
UUCAAACAGGAUGGCCUAGCUCC